rnacentral:rRNA from 1 species
UACGGAGGGUGCAAGCGUUAUCCGGAAUCAUUGGGUUUAAAGGGUCCGCAGGCGGUUCUAUAAGUCAGUGGUGAAAUCUCUCGGCUCAACCGAGAAACUGCCAUUGAUACUAUAGGUCUUGAAUACUCUGGAGGUAAGCGGAAUAUGUCAUGUAGCGGUGAAAUGCUUAGAUAUGACAUAGAACACCGAUUGCGAAGGCAGCUUACUACGGGGUCAUUGACAC